CCCACAUUUGGAAAAGGCUGUGCACCAACUCUGGAUGUAGUGACCACUCGUGCUGAGAGGAGAAGUCCUGGCUCAGGAGAUCCACUGGGGAAUUCCGGGCCCCCAGUAAGCGGUGGACUUCCAGCAGUCCUAGAGUGGCGCAUGUGGACAGAAGGAGCGCCACGUGCUCCCGCACCUGCGACCUGGAGCUGCCCUUGACCAGCCAGUCGUUGAGAUGGGGAAGAUCUGGACCCCCUGACAUCUGAGGGAGCCAAACGAGAGUACCGUAAACUGGGCCUUGCCAUCGAAUGGAAGAUCCUGUAAUGAGUUCUGCACUUCACUGGACAACCCAGACAGCAGGAGCUACGAUGCCCUCCUCAUGGACACUGUGGAGGCCAUGGACUUUGCAGCCGUAUCUAUAGCAU